UAUUAUUAUUAUUAAUUUAUUAUUAUUAACUUGUUCCUAUGCAAAGUAACAUUAUUAGGAACCCUAAAUAAACACUAGGGCAACUAAGCCUUCUAAGAACUUACUGUGGCCCUUAGGAACUCUACUCAAGACUCCUCAGAUGGUUCUUGUAUAACAGAAGAAAUGCUGUAGGGAUGUGAUUUCCAUUCUGAGACAAAUCUACUCACAGUCAUCAUUGUCUGCAUACUGGCAAAUGUGGAAGCUUUCCUGUUUAUGGUGGACUGCAGUAGUGGGUCAAAGCAUAGAGCUCGUAGGUGUAACAGGCAUUUUGGAAUGCGAGACAAAACCAGAUAGGGAUGUGAUUGCAGAAAACCCAAAUUGUGCUGCUGUUCCAAUCCAGCGUUAUAAACAGUGGGCUUACGGGGGGGGGAGCCCUAAAGGGGCGGGGAGCACUUGGACACGGCACUUUAUAGUACAGACCUGUGCAUAGAAAGCACAGGGCCAAAGGUAAUAUGUGUGAGCCCUGAGUUUCUUGCCUACUGUGAAACACCUUCAUACUCCUGAGGGCUGAACGUUGUUUCGUUUAAAAUGAGAUUGAGGGGUGAGGAAGCUGUGGCCCAUCCGAUGUUGUGGGACAGAGUUGUAUCCUGUGCUGUGCCAGUGGAAGUUCCUCUCCACCCCAGCCCCUCACAGAAAGCCACAGCCCUGCUCUGGAGAGCCUUCCAACCACCGUGAUGCUUGUAUUGGGAGAAGCCAGUUUUCUUUUACCUUUAAAGGUUGUGAUUGUUUUGACUGUAGCCCAUAUCUUGUUUGAAUCUGCAAUCUCUUCCCUUCCUUUUUAUUCACAACUUGAGCAAGUGUAAAUUAAAACACGGCACAAUUCUUAAGAAGCUCUUGUUUGUCUUUCCUUGUGUUACAGAGGCCUUCUGUUAAAAGAACCCGGUUGUAACUUGAGAAACUGAAAAGCAUUCUUAAUCAAUGGACUCUUAACUCCGAAGACUUGAGUAACAUGUAUUUAUUGUUUAGUCGGAUGAAUAAUUGAUUAGGUUGGGAUGACAGCUUUUGUCCAUUAUUUAUUACAUAUAUAUUUUUUACCCUACUUCCCAGCUGCACAAGGACCCGAGGCCGCUUACAACAGGCUAAAGUAGUGUACUGUACAUACCUGUAUAAUAAAUAUGGUAACAUUAAAUCAAAGCACAGGAUAAAACAAUAGUGUGAAAGGCAGGAAAGAGACCCAUCUGCUAAAAUAAAUUAGGGUUUUAGAUCCUUCCUAAAACAUCCUUAUUCUGUCUCCUAAGUGCAGGGAGUGAGUUGAGUAUCUCUUGAGAUGGUCUUCCAUGCUUUACACAACAGAAGUACAGAGGUGUAGUAAACAGGGAGUAUCUUGCUAAGAGGUGGAGUGUAUGGGAGGAAUAUGUUGCGGAAGCUUGCUACUAUUAUUUUAACUCUGGCCCCGUAAUGGUAGCCAAUGAAGUUGUUUGAGGGGAGGAGUGCUAUGUCCUCUAUGUUUAAUACCAGUCAUCUUGACAUAGCAUUCUGGACGAGCUUAGCUCCACAUUGAUUGGAUUGCAGAGCUUUGUUUUAUCAAAACAAGCUCUAUAUUAACAAUUGUUUUUUAGAUCCAGAUUUCCCAGUUGCUGUACCUGCACAGCCGUUGUACCAACCCAAACUUGGAGCAAGUACCUUCUAGGCUGUAGCUGCAAAGCAUAACCCAGGAAUGGCCUAAUCUUGAUCCUUCAGGAUGAUUUUAAUCCCAUCAUCUAGAACAGGAUGACAAUAUGGCCACCCACUACCAUGACUCAAUCAUAUUUCACUUGAGCUUCAGUUUAUUGGAUCUUGUCAACCCAUUGUUGACUCCCAAGAACCAGUUCAAGGAGUCUACCACUUCACUGGAAUUCAAAGAAAAGAAGAGAUAUCGACUAGCAGUUGUUCUUAACUGUGCAUUUUAUGGAGGCCCCAUAAAACCACUAUAUGCAUCUAAACGGGACAGAGUAGAGGUCGGAAGCAGGUGGGGCCAUCUUCAGCCUGGAGAAUAUGAUUAGUAGGGGAAACUGACAGCACCUUUGUCCCUAUUAUUCAUCUUUUAUGAGCUCUUUUAUGGGCCUAUUUCAAGCUCUUAUUUGUCCAUGGAGCUUUUUGGGCGGUAUGGAAAUGUUGCAAAUAAAUGCCAACUGUUGCUAAUAUGAAGGGUGAAAUAAGGAUUUUGUCUGACAAAGAUGUACAAGAUAGACUAUGCUCUACUUGCUAGCAAUUGAAUUUGAUUUUACUAACUGUGGCUGUGCAGUGACUGGUUUGACUGCUACAAUGAUAGUCUUUAUAGAGCUGGGCAGUAAGAAUGACCAGUCCCUUAUUUACAUAGGGCCCAGCUACCUAUCCAGAUCUACUUAGCGUUGACCAAAAAAAAAAAAGUAUCUCCUUAAAUGUAUAAACAUAAAAAAUAUAUGGCCUCAAAUGGAAAUGAAGCAAGCUUGAC